UCUUGUGGGCAGAGGUCCACCAUAACUCCCGGCCCUCCUCCUCUUCUCUUCCCCAGUCCAGCACAGGCGCGGCGGUACUGCCGCUCGGCCAGACAGCUCCCCCUAGAAACCAGCCGUGCCUCUUGGGCAAUUUCCCUUCGUCCUGUGGCCAUUCAGCAUGCCAAGCUACGCUUCCUCCCAUAUACACACACCCUCCUCUUCCCCCUUCUUCUUGCUCAUACCCCAAAAGGGCCAGGGAAUAAAGCUGAGAGAGAAGUGAGAUGAGAUGAGAGAGUACAGGUAGGAAGGAUCAAGAAGAUGUGAGAGUGAUCAUGGAAAAGUUGGCUAGCUAGAGAGAGAGAGAUCAGGGAGCCUUUUCGUCUUUGAGGGGAAUGUUGUCUGGCUCGGGGGCGCCGCUCUUUCUCUGACCUGCCCCUUUCUCCUCCAUCUCGCUCUUCCUUUCUCUCUUGGAGAUCAAGAGGAGACGGGCAGGGGUGAGAGGAGAUGGGUGUAGAUCUCGGACCAGGCUUCAUUCCCCCCAAAAGGAUGGGCUCCCCAUGCUCUCUGCCUCCAUCAGAGCUCGUUCCUGCUGGAGCUUCCUUGCUGCCUCCAAAUCUGAACCGAAGACAUGCAUGCAUGCCUAGCUAGCUGAGGGGCCAUGGACAGUGCAGUGACCAUACGGGCAGGCAGCAGUCGGGUCAGCAUCUCAUGCAUGCCGGAUAGCUAGCACUGCUGCUCACUCCUGUUCUGGUACGGUUGCUUCUCGUCUUCUCUUGACGCGAGGGCUCAUGCAGGAACAGAGAUGCAGCCAGGAACGCCGCUCGGGAUCCGGACGAGACGAAGCUAGCUAGCAGCUAUGCGCCUAUGCGGGUGUGGCAGCUUCCAUAUCCAUGCAUCAUCAAGGCCGAUUCGAAUUCGAUUCCGCUUUCAUGUCAGCUUCUGAACUUAGGCUUCUGAAGUGACCAUUGGCCUCAUGGCGUGGUCCUUGUCUGAAAGACCGACCACCCCCGUUCUACAA